AAGACACUCGGCAAGCCGGGAGCACUCCCGCCGGAGCACGGGGCGGGGCUCUGGGGUCACUUAGCUCCUUGCAUGGUGAGAGCCCAGUGAGUGUUUUGUUCGCAGUAAUUGGUUAUCAUAUCAGAAGUUUCCCAAACGACCGGGACCUGGGGCGCCAUCCUUUCCCGACAACUUCAGGAGGCAGUUUCGGUUUUGCUUAUGAUUUCAGAGGCACGAGCAGGGGAUGACCUGGAUCAGCUGAGCCUUCUAUGACUAAACUGGGACUUUUCAAGGUGUCUGGUCCUCGCGGACACCGUUCGGCACAUGGGUGGCUGCCCACCGGCAUUGAAACCCUGGAGAGUGUGCGACCUAUUGCAGAGGUCAGUCCGACCACAGUGAGGAGGACAAUAGCCAGGAUCGAAGAGUCCCCGGGAACAGAGGUUCCCAGGAGCCAACAGCUCACCAGUCAAAUACACUAAAUGGGUUACAAUUGUCUGAGGUUAUUUACAAAGGCACACGUGAGCCUUAGCAAUCCCGCAGCCUCACCGUCACGCAGGCCGGGGAGAACUUGAGGACACCGUCCGUCAGACGCCCAUGUUGUAGGUGGGCUUCCACCAAGUCAGGUCCCCAAAUGAUGUAAGCGAUCAGGUAAUUUAAUGACAGACGCGCCCACAGAAACACAGGAAAAACAAAGGUUAGUCCUUCAGGCAAAUUACAAAUUAGUUUCUGAAUUUGGAGAGCAGCCGGCUGAGUUUCUAGACAUUGGGUUUGGAGCAUCUUCAGGUGGGGCAACUGCCGGCCACGGUGAUCUAACCCCUCUUCCUGGUCUGCAGUGCAAACGUCCCCAGUAAUUUUUCUAAGCAGCCACAUGGCAGCAGACACAGAGACUGUCCACACACCGGCUGUUGUGGCGAUUUCUCCGAGGUUGACAUCAAGGAGUCAAGCUUUUGGUCGCAUAGCUCUGGGACGGUUUUAGUUUCAUAGUGAUUCUGAGUCAAGAGAGUAGGAGACCUGGAGAUGAUAGCUUGAAGAAUUCUAGCCAAAUUCUGGAGGAAACUGAAAUUCAGGAUCUAGUCCCAUCUAUAGCUAUAAAACAAAACCUCCAAGACAAGAAACAGCACUAGAAUCUGAUAUCCCCAAGGAUCGUUAUUAUUGAAACACAAUUUUUCUCUGUAAUCAUCUCCCAUUUUUAUCAAAGAUAACCAUAGUAAGGCUAAUUUGUUCACAGAUUGAGACCAGCUUCAAUACGCUCAGUCCAAUUAUUUAUACAAAUGCACAGGACGAGUGAUCAAUCAUAUAGGUGCUUUUAACUCUGCUUUGCUGGAACUUUUCACAAGGAACUCAGAUUGGACUUUCAAGAACCUCUCCAGGCCAGGAAGGUAAGCCAGUUGUGUCCUGUUAUUGGGAGAACCCGGAAAACAAGACACCAAAGAACCAGCAGUGCUGUAAUCCAGGUCGUCCAAAUUACAGUCCUCUCUAUCCCUUCGUCCCAUGUUUUGUAAUCAAUUUUGCUUUGCUUCAUCUUGGGGUAGUGGCUUUAUGAAUCAAUCCAUUUUCCAUUAAAGUUUUAGAAAUUCUUGCUCAGUUCAGUGCUACGGUCUUGAAGUUAUCAGCAGAGCUGCAUUCUAGAAUGCUUGUCAGAAUCUUUCCUGGGAAUGUCUUUGAAGAAGAAGCAUUUUUGCGGG
rnacentral:lncRNA from 1 species